CCAGCCCCGGUCCCCACCCCGGGGACGCUCUCCGGCGCGGUGCGCUGCCGGCGGCUGUGCUGAGUCACUGGCGGCACUUCGCCGGGCAGCCGGCCGACGUCGAGCCUAUCACGUUGAAAGUGCCUGCUGAGCGCGGCUGUGUCGGCGACCGUGCGCGCACAUGGUCCUGGAGGACACGUGCCGGCGGCAGGACUUCAACCCCAACGAGUACGACCUGAAGUUUCAGAGGAAUGUGCUGGACCUGUCUCUGCAGUGGCGAUUCGCCAACCUGCCCAACAACGCCAAGCUGGAGAUGGUGCCCAUCUCCCGGAGCCGCGAGGGGCCUGAGACCAUGGUGCGCAUCGCCCUGCAGCUGGAUGACGGCUCCCGGCUGCAAGACACUUUCUGCUCAGGCCAGACGCUCUGGGAGCUCCUCUGCCAUUUUGCGCAGAUCAGGGAGCGUCUGGAGCGGCCGUGUCAGGCGAGCCCAGUCUGCGUGUACAUGCGGGACGAGGUGACCGGCAGAGCCGCCUUGCAGAGCACGACCCUGCAGUCGCUGGGCCUCACCGGGGGCAGCGCCACCAUCAGGUUCGCCAUGAAGCCCUGGGACGCGGCCGGCACGCAGGAGCCCGGGGCCUCCCGGAGCAGGAGCCCGGGAAGCCCGCGCCUGACACCAGCCGGCCAGGCCGCCGGCAGCCCUCUGCUGCCGCUGAACCCCGCGGGGCUCAGCCACGGCGACGUGAGCCGGCAGGACGCGGCAGCCAGCGCGGGGCCCGGCCUCACGGACGGCCCCAGCCCGACGCCCGCAGACGCCCAGGCCAAGCCCGUCGUGAAGGAGCCCGCACCUGCCCCCUUCGUGCCCUUCUCGGGCGGGGGACAGCGACUGGGGGGGCCCUGCGGGGCCGCCAGGCCUCUGGUGUCACCUUCAGCCAAACCGCCCAAGUCCUUCUCCAGCCCCGCAGGCCCCUCGAAGCCAAAGAAGUCGCGGCCUGGCCAGGAGCCCCAGCAGGAGCCGGAGCCAGAGCUGGAGCCGCCGGUGGACCGAGCCCCCGUGGUGUGCCACCCCGACCUGGAGGUGCUGCUCCAGGCCUGGCCUGCGGAGCUGCCUGAUGAGUUCUUCGAGGUGACUGUGGACGACGUCCGAAGGCGCCUGGCCCAGCUCAAGAGCGAGCGGAAGCGCCUGGAAGAAGCACCCCUGGUGACCAAGGCCCUCCGGGAGGCCCAGAUGAAGGAGAAGCUGCAGCGCUACCCUAAGGUGGUCCUGAGGGUCCUGUUUCCGGACCGCCACAUCCUGCAGGGCUUCUUCCGCCCCAGUGAGACCGUGGGGGACUUACGGGACUUUGUGAGGAGCCACCUGGGCAACCCCGCGCUGCCCUUCCACCUGUCAGAGCGAUGGGCGGGGGGCUGUGAGCUGAGGGGCCGCUUCAGAAACCCCCCAGCUGUGGCUGCAGGCCUCCGGCUCCCGCGUGGGCACCGAGGGCCAGGGCGCUUGCCGGGACAACACCCGUCUCUCCGCAGUCAUCGCCCCGCCCAAGACCAUCCUGGACGACCACACGCUGACCCUUUUUCAGGUACCAGCCUGGCAGGCUGGGGGCGCUGCUGGGCCAGCCCGAAGCGGCAGAGGCCCUGGACCAGGGAGGGGCGGGCGGCCUGGAAGGAGCAGAGCGCCUCCGAAGUCGGUUGGGGCUUUGCAGCCUCGGCCCUGCCGGGACUGCCCCUGGUCUGGGGGAGAGGGGCUGGUUGCUGGGCUGUGGGGAGCCCCGGAAGGGUCAAGGGUCAGAGGCCGCAGCCACGGGUGGCCAGCUGCCCGGGAAGGCCUGGGGGUGCCAGCUGUUGGCAGCAGGUUUGGCCCCGGCCUGGAGGGGCUGCGGCCAGGCCUUUCUCCCCGACCCCGUGGCCUCUGCUGGGAAUGCCGUGCUGGGCCCUCCCCGCUGGCCGGGGGCCCGGAGCUCCCAGGGCGGGGAGUGGUGAUCCUGAUGGGCUGCCCUGCUGGGCUGCGUCCAGAGCCAGAAGGAAUGUCCUGUGCCUUCGCCCCGGGAGAGCGGCCCGGGGCCUCCCCAGCCCUCCAGCCUAAUGGCUUCUCGUCAAAGUCUCUUCAGAUAUUUUAAUUAGGAGCAGAGGCUGGCCUUUGUCAAGCGGCCAGCAGGCCCCGCAGAGAUCCGAGUUGGGGUGAGGGGCCUCCGUGCUGCCCGCCCGGGGCUGCCACCGUCAGGGGUGGGGGGGGGCGGGGGGCGGGGGCAGACCGACUGCGGAGAGGCUGGAAGCCCACCAAGGAAAGGAGCCAAGGUUGGCGGGAGCAGGGGGCUCCCCCCGCGCCCCCUUCUCCGCCCCUGGGAGCCCCGGAGGCAUUGGGCCUCCUCCUGUCCCCGCCCGCCCUCCUCACUGGCCAGCCUGUUGAUAAACAUUGAAUUUGGAAGAUGCUUCGGGGUGGGGAGGCCCGCGGCCGUGCACUCCCUCCAGUUGGGAGCCCUGGGUGCCGCCUGUCCCACCCACGUGGCCUGAUUCCUGGUGACACUCUGCCCCCCGCUACCAGCAGCCGUCUCCUUUCAUCCAUCAGCUCGCCCUGGAGCCGCGGGGCCUCGCUCAGGGUGGCGUCCCUGGCUGCCCGUGAUCAGAGAGCUGGCAGGGCCCCGGGAAGGAAGCCUUCUUCCCGCCCGCGGGCCAGCGGGCGCGGAAGCGGCCGGCUUUUAUGUCCCUGGCAGGGCUGCCUGGGGCCAGGCCUGCGCCCCAGAAAGUGACAGCUCCGGGUGGGUGUGGGGAUGGCAGCCCAGCUGCCCCUUUGGCUGCGGGAGCAGGAGCAGGAGCGGCUCUUUGCUGAGAGCGGCCGAGGGGGGCCGAGGGCGGGAGGAUGCGGAGGUCGCGGUGUGGCCACAGAGCUGCCCAGCGCCCCCUCCUCAGACCUGAGCCCCUCCCUCCUUUCCUCCCGUCUCAGCCUCCUGCCCACUGCCUCGCCCAGGGCCCCGGCUCCACCCCUGGUGGGCCCCAAAGACCACCUCGUCCGUCUGAGCAGAGGGUAGACCCUCCCUCCCAGUGGUCCCCGUGGUCGCCCGCGCUGCCCCUCAGCUCUUUGUCCCUUAGGACCCCGAGACAGAGCCGGCGAGUAGGGGGCUUCCAGCAGGUGCUGAGGGGAGGCCAGGAGGCCGGGUUCACGAGGAGCCGCCUCCAGGAGGAGGGGGUCCUGCAGGCUUCAAGUGCCACAGCCCCCAGGCAGCCCCACAGGGCGGGUGGCCCCAGUGCCUGGCCGGUUGGCUGGGUCACCCGGGGCGGGUUGGGGCACCACCCUACCUGUGCGCCGCACCCCCCCCCCCACCUCCGUCAGUGUCCGAGGCCCUGGGGCACCUCCUGCGACCCUGCAGGCCACAUGCCCCUGCCCCGGGCUCCCACAUGGCCGCGUGGGGUUGCAGAGUGUUCUCAGCCGCCCUCGGCCUCAGCCUCUGCUGUGACCUUGGGUCCGGCCUCGGAAGCUUCCUCUUACUAACCCCCCAUCCCAACUCCAAGAGCUGGGCCCUGAGAACGGGGGGACACACUCAGCUGGCAGCUGUGGCCCUUCCACCAGGGACCGGAGACGCGGAGCCUCAGGCAGUGGCCUUGCUGCCGCCUCAGGCCCGCUUGGGGGUCUCAGCCGUGACCAUCCUCAGGUGCAGAGGCCGGUGGUGACCCGGGGGCUCUGGGCUCUGCGCUCCUCUGCUGCAGCCCCAUUCGGCCCCACAGUCCAGCCCCCUGCCCGGAAGGCACCCAGUCCCACACCAGACCUGGAGCUUCUGCUGCGGGGGGGCGCUGCCAGGCCUAGUUCCUCCUUCAGGAUGUCCGCUGCUCCCCGGGAACUGGGGGGAGAAAGGCCGGAGCGCACGGGUGCCCGUCCGGCUGGGGCUGGAGCUGGCCCCGGGCAGGACCCUGUGGUCUGAUGCCCUGGCCAGCCAGGGCAGCUGGGUGGUGGGCCACGUUGUGGGGUGGUGCCCUGGCCCCUGAGCUCCCUCUGCACCCCUCAGGCCAGCCUCUUCCCCGCUGCCCUUGUGCAUUUCGGACCCGAGGAGCCGACAGGCAUCUACUUGGAGCCCAGGCUGCUGGAACACACUGUGUCCCCAUCU